rnacentral:rRNA from 1 species
UGGGGAAUAUUGCGCAAUGGGGGAAACCCUGACGCAGCGACGCCGCGUGCGGGAUGAAGGCCUUCGGGUUGUAAACCGCUUUUGAUUGGGAGCAAGCCUUUUGGGUGAGUGUACCUUUCGAAUAAGCAUCGGCUAACUCCGUGCCAGCAGCCGCGGUAAUACGGAGGAUGCGAGCGUUAUCCGGAAUUAUUGGGUUUAAAGGGUGCGUAGGUUGCAAGGGAAGUCAGGGGUGAAAAGCUAUAGCUCAACUAUGGUCUUGCCUUUGAAACUCUCUAGCUAGAGUGUACUGGAGGUACGUGGAACGUGUGGUGUAGCGGUGAAAUGCAUAGAUAUCACACAGAACUCCGAUUGCGCAGGCAGCGUACUACAUUACAACUGACACUGAAGCACGAAAGCGUGGGUAUCAAACAGG